rnacentral:lncRNA from 1 species
UGUCCCCUCCACAUUCAUCUUAUAGACAGGUGUCAAUCCCUCAUUCCAUUUGCUAUCGUGUUCAUCUCUCAGCCUAUCCACGCCUCCUCCUUAUUGCUAAACUAGGGUUUUUUUCCUUUACAUCUAUUCUUCCUAACCCUAAUCUCAUUUCCCCCAAAGGUGAAGGAGAAGAACAGCGUAGCAUUUCGCUCAGCAAGCAUUUCGCUCAACCACCUCUUCUUCUUCCACAAGCAUUAGAUCGAGUCGGAGCCCUAAUCCUAAGCAGGCAGCCGCUUAACAUUUUCCAAAAUCACCGCAAUUACGCAUCGCUCACAUGGCUCGUGCUUUAUCCAGAUCCGCUCGUCAGAGAGACAUUGUAGAGCACAAAGAAGGAUUAUGCCAAAACAGAAGACGAUUUGAAGUCCCUUCAAAGCGUUGGACAGAUCAUAGGCGAGGUGCUAAGACCUCUGGAUAGUGAACGAUGUAACUACUACCUUUACUAUUUUCCUUCCUUUUACUUUGAUUGUACACUAUGUUUUAAUUUUCACUCUUUUGUUUUAAGUCAUGAAUAGGCAAGUUAUGUGUAAUGUGUGAAAUAGAAAUUUAAAACCAAUGUGGAGUGUAGCUGCCUUGUAAUUUGAAUCAUUAAAACAUGUUGAAUGUUGUUAUUAAGUUGGUUGUUUUCUACCUUAAAUAAUUACACAAAGAUAUCAGUUUGAC